rnacentral:rRNA from 1 species
GACGAGGGGUCCUAGCGUUGUUCGGAAUCACUGGGCGUAAAGCGCAUGUAGGCGGCUUGGUAAGUCAGUUGUGAAAGCCCUGGGCUUAACCCAGGAAGUGCAUCUGAUACUGCUAAGCUUGAGUAUGGGAGAGGGUAGUGGAAUUCCUGGUGUAGUGGUGAAAUACGUAGAUAUCAGGAGGAACCCCGGUGGCGAAGGCGGCUACCUGGCCCAAUACUGACGCUGAGAUGCGAAAGCGUGGGGAUCAAACAGG